rnacentral:rRNA from 1 species
UUCCUCUUGUAUUAUUUAAUAAGAGGUAGGAUCUGCCCUAUGAUUUAAUUAAAUGGCCGCAGUAUAUUGACUGUGCGAAGGUAGCAUAAUCGUUUGUCUUUUAAUUGGAGUCUGGUAUGAAUGAUUUUAUGUGAGAAAUACUGUUUCUAUUAGAAAAAUGAAUUUUCAAGUUAGGUGAAGAUGCUUAAGUUUCUUUAAAAGACGAGAAGACCCCAUCAAGUUUUAUAAUAUUAUUUAUUUUUAGGUAAUUUAAAAUAUUUUUAUUAUUUUGUUGGGGCAAUGAAUAAAUAGGGAAAACUUUAUUUUUUAAUAAUGUUAGUAGAUAAAUAUUUUUAUGAUCCAUUUAUUUGAUUAUAAGAUUAAAUUACUGUGGGGAUAACAGCGUUAUUUCUUUGAAGAGUUCAUAUCUAUGAAGAAGAUUGCGACCUCGAUGUUGGAUUAAGAUUCUUAUUUGGCGCAGGUGUUAAAUGAAGUAGU